ACAGACCAUAGUUUUACAGUCUAUAUCUAACGUUGAUCAUCCGUUUUUUUUAAAAAAAAAUAUAAUUAAUAUUUUUAUUGUUGUUAGAUAAUAAAACAUGAAUAUUACUUUAUAUAUGACUAAUUAUUUUUAAUUUUUUUUAUAAAAUUUGUAAAUAAGAUGGACUGUCAAACGUUUGACAUAAAAACCCAUGACUGUACUUAAA
rfam:Oryza rufipogon genomic scaffold, chr08